ensembl:lncRNA
UGUUGUUGUAUAUUGCAUAACAAUUGCAUAUUGUGAUGUGAAACACUGAGUUGAAAGAACAUACAAAAAUACAUGUUAAAAAAAGUCUAAUGAAAGGGAGAUGUCAUGUCUGUUCAUGUACAGUAUUUACCUUGAGUGCCUGAGGCUGGCGCUGUUACUAACUACUACAUGUGGUCAUCUGUACUUGCACUUGACCGUGACCUCUGAUAAACUUGGUUCUUCUACCCGCAUCCCUAUCUCAGUGUGCUAGUAUAUUACACUAGCCAAACCUAGCUUAGUUAAGCGCUAGCUAGCUCUAGGCUAGUUGGUUUCAGUCAAUGUGAGCUUACAUCUUUAGUGGUUAAUAAUGUAACGGUUGUAGCAUUGUUUCUCAUAGGCCUCCUGUCAUAUAUAGCUUUUUCAAAAUUGACACUAAUAGUACAGUGAGUUGUAAAUAAUGUGAUUGUGUAUGUAUGGUGUAUGGUGACUCAAGGUUUGGAUGAAUGGACCUACUAGACCCUCAAGACAAAUCCCUUGGCGGGUACCAGGAGUGGUGGGAGGACAACCCAAAGGUCUUUCUCUUUGCACAUAACAGCAGCGUCCAGGCUUCCAGAGUACUCACCCUAUUGCCUGCUGUAUGCACGGGAGCCACAGCUUUUUACUGAGUUAAACAAUGCAAUUGUAUAUACAAUAGUAUUAAACAUAUGUGAUUGACUUAGUGUUGUUUGUGUAUUGCUAUUUUUGUAUUUGUAUAAAACUUCCACCACCUCAGGUGGCGUUUCAGGCCAAAUGACUUGGCCUGGAAGAAGGACGAAAGUAAGGUGAGACCUGGGAAUCGUCGCUGCUCUUUUACUUCUACCUGGGGUCACCAUCUAUUAAGGUGAACAUAAUAUAUACUGUCAGCAGUACCAACACUGGCCCAGGGGUUUCUCCAAAUAGUAAAUCUCAAGGCUAACCACUGGGUCACUUUAAGCAACCUCCGCUUCCAGGUAGGUACUGUUGAGAUGUAUGACUCCAGUGGUCAUGACGCCAUCCUGGAGUUUCUCUCACAACUCACAUCUCUCUUUUCCAGGGACCAUCCCGUAUCUCCCGCAUCAACCCCACUGACAUAACAAAUGACACGGGUAUUCUUUAUUUUCUGUUUGUCAUUAACAUUAUUGCAUGUCUAAUCAAACAUUUAAAGGAAAUCAUUCAAUAACAGUAUUUUUACAUGCCUGUGUGUUUGCGUGUGUAGAAACGUUAAAGACAUGGAUUUCAUGUUGUCACGGUAACAAGGUACCCAAAAGUAGUUUGAAGUAAUGUUUUCAUUUUAUUAGCUGAAUAAAAAACAGGAGCUGGUGCACACCCAGAAAAAAUGAUUUUGUGUGGAGGUGCUGACUAACGGGGAAUAAACUAUACAAAUAGAAUGGCACACUCCAUAUAUAAACUCCCAGUCAUUUAUUGGGUAAAUCACCAAUGUUUCAGCAUCACUGUGCUUUCUUCAGGGUAAUGUCAUGAAUACUUGAACCAGGUUAUGUAGACAAACAGUGCAAUUAGUGCAACCAAUGACAAUAGUGAUGGGUGUGUCAUAAUUAUUAAGUUAAUUCAAAUUAAUUAGUGAAACUGUUAAAAAACAAUAGUUUAUGGCGUAUUAAAUAUAUCAGGCUAUUGUUAUCAUAUGCAAACAUAAUUAAAUAUUGUACAUAAUAUUAGCAUCAACAUACAUUAUUGUUUAAUUAAAUGCAUAAUAAGCAUCAUCAACAGAGGGAACAUAUUAGGUGUACACUAAUAAGCUGUAGAAAGAAUAUAUCAAUUUAUAAGACAAGUUCAAAAAAAUAGAGAAUUUUUCAUAAGGGCCUGAGAUCAAUGUGAAUAUUUCAGACCACUAGGGGUCAAUGUUUUUAGACAGGAUAUCCAGUAAGCCUCUGUCGUGUCUUUACUAUCAUUAACUGAAGACUUAUAGUUUUUAUCAAAGAUUCUCUGUAAUUAGUAUUACGCGAUUAGACUGAUUAAUCAUGUAACCGUAGUUACUAGGAAGUCGGGGCACCAAGGAAAAAUAUUCAGAUUACAAAGUUAUCAUUUCCUAAAAUAACUUGUCAGAUAUUUUAUCUGACCAAUUAGUCUUCGAAUUAAUGAAUUAUUUACCUCACGUUAGUCUCAUUCCAAACGUCGUAAUAGUUGGUUAUCUGCAUGAACCCAGUCUUCACUAUGAGUCAUCCAUACAUCAAUUGUCUUAAAUCAUUUAUUUAUUACUAACUAAGUAAUUCACAGAAAUGCAUAAACAAACAAACAAGGUAAAUGUGGUUACAAGAAAUGAUAGGAGAAUGUGCCCUAGUGGGCUAAACUGGCAUGGCGGCUUGUUAGACAAAAGGGGAAGUGGGGGUCAACUAAGAAGUCACUACAGAGUGAUAAUUAUAACAAUUGAAAUGCUAAUCCUUUACACAUGAACGCUCACUCAUUCGGGAACAAUUGCAAUCAAUAUAUAUAUUUACGCUCAGUGUGUCGUCUUGAUCGCUGGUGAAAAGUUUGUUUCCUUUGUAGAAUUGUCCGUCUCUCUCCCUCUCUUGGUUAGAGUGGAUUGUUCAGAGUGACAUUACUUCGUUUCGUUAUAGAAUGGAUAUUUCGGCGGAUGUCAUUCUUCGCGUUCAAUGAUACCGAAUUGCUAGCUGCAGACUAGUAAUUAAUAUCAAAGACUUGUUCUUAUUCUGUCGGUAUCGAUAGUCUAAGAGUUUAACCACGUAGUAUGGUUAAAAGAUUCAGCAAUGGUCUACAACCUUUGUCUCCUCCUAAUGGAGAUAAACAUGGUCUGGUGAUAAUUUCUCAAAGUUGGGUUUUAUUCGGAAUGGCAGAAAAGGGCUGUCCCAGGACGCCUGACCCAAACUGGGCUCAGGGGCGGUCCUCUGAUUUAGUUAACUCCAAUCCCCUUUUUGAGUUUUCCUUCAUUAAACAGUACAAAAUCAUAUUACACAAUUUUAUAAACAGUAUCAUACAUUCAUCUUAUACAACAAUUCUUAUAUAAACAGCGUUAUGGUAAUGUGGCCACACCGUCUACCAUGAGCUUCCCCAAGUUGUGACAAACGGACCAGUUCGUAGCUGGAUUCUUCACCAAUCUUUUAUACUUUCUCCGGAACAUGAAAUUUGUUCGUACCUCAAGUUCUGUGAGGUGGAAGAAAUUCCUUUCUGCUCAAUGAAAAUUUCCUCUGCCUCUUAUAGUAUGUGGCCAUGUGGCAGGGUCUUCUCAGGAAUUUACGACGUCUCUCUGACCACAGCAGCCUAGUUGAAGGAGGAACGGGGGAGGCAGGGAAAGGGGGAUGGGGCCUGCUAUACCCAAAGAGGCCAACGUCAUGACACCUCCCUUUGUAGUAGUAGGAUCUCAAUGUUUCCUCCUCUCCUUGGUAGAGCAACAUGCUCAAUGCCUAUGUAUUUGAGGGAGGAGAUUGGAUGGCUAUCUUCAACAAAGUGAGCUGCUUACACCUGAUUGAGCUGCGGUGUUCAGCUAUGCUGUGUUUUAAUUGUACUUUUGUUUGUCCUACAUAGACUUUUCCACAUGAACAGGUGAUGAGAGAGAUUACUCCCCUUGGUCUUGCAUGAGAUAAUACCCCUAGGAUGUUUUUAUAGUGCUAUUGCACUGUGCGCAUGAGCCUCAUUUGUAGUUCCCAUUUGGAAUUUGUGUCAAGAGUGUCUGAGUGGGCUCAGGGAACAUGUCAGAUCUCACCAAGCUAUCUCCAUUAUUGCAACCACAAAACUUGUUUAAAACUUCUUAGGGCUGCAAUCCCGUUAACGGGAUCGAUAUAACAACAGCCAGUGAAAGUGCAGGGCGCCUAAUUCAAAACAACAGAAAUCUCAUAAUUAAAAUUCCUCAAACAUGCAUGUAUCUUAUACCGUUGUAAAGGUAAUCGUGUUGUUAAUCCCACCACAGUGUCCGAUUUCAAAUAGGAUUUACAGCGAAAGCACCACAAACGAUUAUGUUAGGUCACCACCAACUCACAGAAAAAUUCUGCCAUUUUUCCAGCCAAAGAGAGGAGUCACAAAAAGCACAAAUAGAGAUUAAAUUAAUCACUAACCUUUGAUGAUCUUCAUCAGAUGACACUCAUAGUACAUCAUGUUACACAAUACAUGUAUGUUUUGUUUGAUAAAGUUCAUAUUUAUAUAAAAAAAUCUCAGUAUACUUUGGCGCGUUACGUUCACUAGUUCCUCUGUGGAGGACAGAGGAGCCUCUUAAAGAAGAAGUUACAGGUCUGUGAGAGACAGAAAUCUUGCUUGUUUGUAGGUAACCAAAUACUUAUUUUCCACCAUAAUUUGCCAAUAAAUUCAUUAAAAAUCCUACAAUGUGAUUUUCUGGAUAUUCUUUUCUCAUUUUCUCUGUCAUAGUUGAAGUGUACCUAUGAUGAAAAUUACAGGCCACUCUCGUCUUUUUAAGUGGGAGAACUUGCACAAUUGGUGGCUGACUAAAUACUUUUUUUGCCCCACUGUAUAUUGGGCCUAUAGCCACUGCACAAACCUCAUUGUUAUAUAACUGUUUUCAAUUGGUUAAUGUUGCAUAGGAUUAAGAUUUUUAAAGUCAUUUUUCAAAAUCUGAGCGGUAGAUCUCUGAUUUAAUUUUGACUCAGAAAAGGUUGGUGACCUGCUCUACAACAUCUGUAGAGUAUGACCUUUCCACACACAGGAAGCGGCGCAGGUCCUAAUCCAGGCGCUUUGCCAUCUCCCGUCUAGACUACUGCAACUCUCUGAUGGCUGGGCUACCCGCUUGUGCCAUCAAACCUCUGCAACUUAUCCAGAAUGCCACAGCCCGCCUGGUGUUCAAACUAUCUGCAGUGCCUUCAGAAAGUAUUCAUACCCCUUGACUUAUUCCACAUUUAGUUGUGUUACAGCUUGAAUUCAAAAUGGAUUAAAUAGAUUUAUUUUCUCACUGAUCUACACACAAUACCCCAUAGGUUGGUAAAAGAGGAAAGGUUGACUGUAAUUGUUAGGUUGGUAAUGGGGGAAAGGUUGACCGUUAUUGUUAGGUUGGUAAUGGGGGAAAGGUUGACUGUAAUUGUUAGGUUGGUAAUAGGGGAAAGGUUGACUGUAAUUGUUAGGUUGGUAAUAGGGGAAAGGUUGACUGUAAUUGUUAGGUUGGUCAUAGGGGAAAGGUUGACUGUAAUUGUUAGAUUGGUUGGUUGAGAGACAUAGUUGCAUAAAGAGAGAUGAUAAGUGGUGUGAAAAGUAUUCUGAGAAAUGUUCAGUGGUCCCCCUUACGGAUCAUGUUAUACUGAUACGGUUAAAUUACUGUCUAAAGGGUCUGGGACCUAGAGUGUCAGACAAAGAUUGGCACAUUUUCUAUGGUUUUAAAACAGAUCCCAAUGAAAAAUAGAAUCGUUAAAUCAGAGCCUUCAUCAAGAAUUAAAGGAAUACCACCCCAGUAAUACAUUUUGAAGCAAAACCAAUGCCUUGUUCAAUAGGACCAAUGCAUGUUGAACAUGGUUUUCUGUAUUCACCCUCUCAACCAUUUAACUUGCUAGGAAGUUCCCUCCAAAGUGUAUCUCUCCCCUUCUGAAUUGGCCAAUGGAUUUUAUAAUUUCGGCGCAUGACAUGUUAAUCUCAAAAUAGACAUUUAAUGAGUGUGAAGCAGAAAGUGAACAUCCAAUGGAAAUUGGUCAUAUAUAUUUAGAGUAACAUCAUUAGGGUAGACUAAAAUGCAAACAAUGCUUUCAAAUAAGGUGAAAGUAAAAGUGGACAAUGGCAUCCCGGUGAACUGUCACGAGUCUGACCGAGGGUGGCUCUCCUUCCCGGUCGUUGCCACUGAUUGUCUUUCCUCCCCCUCCUGGUAUGUUUAUUGUUAGCACCUGUUAGUGAGUCAUUAGUUGGGCUUUAUUAGACAGCCGGCCCGCCUGUUCCUUUGUGCAGGAUUAAUCAUUGUGACCUUCGUGUAGGUAGUAGAGGAACGUGUUUGUUCCUGGUGGUGUAUUUUCUGCUGUACUGUUUUCGUCCCCCGUGUUUGGGGCAUUUGAUUUUGAGCACCCAGUGUUGCGUUAGUGCAUUAAAAGAGCACAGUAUUGCACUCUCUGUUUCCUGCAUCUGACUCCACACCCACGACACCCGGAGCAUUACAGAAUCCCGCACCACAUUGAAUGGAAUCAGCAGGAGCGAUGGAGGAACGGGUUCUCCACCGCACCACCUUCCUCCAUCGGAUUGGAUCAGCGAUGGAUCAAAUGAUGGAGAGAAUGGACCGAUGGGAGAGGAGUGGUCUCCUCUCUCCACCUUCGGCACCCCCGGCUCCGGACUUCCCAUCUCCCGACUCCAGCACUCUCCGUCUGACACUCCCGAGGGCUUAUGAUGGAGCGGCGGCAGGGUGCCAGGGUUUUUUACUCCAACUGGAGCCAUACCUGGCCACCGUCAGACCCACUCCCCCGGGAGCGGAGAGGGUGGGUGUCCUCAUCUCCUGCCUCAGGGGUCGUGCUCUGGAGUGGGCGAACGCAGUCUGGAAUGGCCCGGACUCAGCGAAGGAGUGGCUCCCCUAGAGGAACGUGUUUGUUCCUGGUCGUGUAUUUUUUGCUGUACUGUUUUCGUCCCCCAUGUUUGGGGCAUUUGAUUUUGAGCACCCAGUGUUGCGUUAGUGUAUUCAGUUGAUGUCAAAUUGAAUAAGUGUUGACAGUAU